rnacentral:rRNA from 1 species
GAUGAACGCUGGCGGCGUGCCUAACACAUGCAAGUCGAACGAAGCACUUGAAGUUUUCGGAUGGAAAGUGACUGAGUGGCGGACGGGUGAGUAACGCGUGGAUAACCUGCCUCAUACAGGGGGAUAACAGUUAGAAAUGACUGCUAAUACCGCAUAAGCGCACAGUACCGCAUGGUACGGUGUGAAAAACUCCGGUGGUAUGAGAUGGAUCCGCGUCUGAUUAGCUAGUUGGCGGGGUAACGGCCCACCAAGGCGACGAUCAGUAGCCGACCUGAGAGGGUGACCGGCCACAUUGGGACUGAGACACGGCCCAAACUCCUACGGGAGGCAGCAGUGGGGAAUAUUGCACAAUGGGCGAAAGCCUGAUGCAGCGACGCCGCGUGAGUGAAGAAGUAUUUCGGUAUGUAAAGCUCUAUCAGCAGGGAAGAAAAUGACGGUACCUGACUAAGAAGCCCCGGCUAACUACGUGCCAGCCGCCGCGGUAACAC